rnacentral:rRNA from 1 species
CCGGCGACCGGCGCACGGGUGAGUAACACGUAUGCAACCUGCCCUCCGCAGGGGGAUAACCCGGAGAAAUCCGGACUAAUACCGCGUGGUACACCAGUGGGGCAUCCCACGGGUGUUAAAAGGAAGCGAUUCCGGCGGAGGAUGGGCAUGCGGCGCAUUAGCUUGUUGGCGGGGUAACGGCCCACCUAACCGACGAUGCGUAGGGGUUCUGAGAGGAAGGUCCCCCACACUGGUACUGAGACACGGACCAGACUCCUACGGAAGGCAGCAG